rnacentral:tRNA from 1 species
GGGGAUGUGGCUCAAGCGGUAUCGCGUGCGCGCCUGGCAUGCGUGCGGCCUGGAUUCAAUCCUCAGCACCACA